AGGUCAAUGAUGACAUCUAAAAUUGUCUUGAAGAGAGAUGAUGACAGAAAUAUCUUGCUCAAUAAGAUAACGCUGAAGCCC